CCUACGGGAGGCAGCAGUAGGGAAUCUUUCACAAUGGGCGAAAGCCUGAUGGAGCAACGCCGCGUGCAGGAUGAAGGCCUUCGGGUUGUAAACUGCUUUUAUAAGCGAGAAAUAUGAUGGUAACUUAUGAAUAAGGAUCGGCUAACUACGUGCCAGCAGCCGCGGUCAUACGUAGGAUCCGAGCAUUAUCCGGAGUGACUGGGUGUAAAGAGUGGCGUAGGUGGCAUAAUAAGUAGCUAGUGAAAUCUGGUGGCUCAACCAUUCAGACUAUUGGCUAAACUGUUAAGCUCGAGACCGUUAGGGGUAACUGGAAUUGCUAGUGUAGGAGUGAAAUGCGUAGAUAUUAGAAAGAACACCAAUAGCGUAGGCAGGUUACUGGGACGGUUCUGACACUAAGGCACGAAGGCGUAGGGAGCAAACGGGAUUAGAUACCCUAGUAGUC
rnacentral:rRNA from 1 species